UUGCCUCCAAAAGCAAAAAAAGAAACGUGGGUUUAGUUUUCAGAAAACUCUACCUUAGGUUUAGUUUUCUGAAAAUCCAUCUCUAAACUUUGCUCUUCCUGACCCCGCAGCCAAUUCAUCUCUAAAUUUAUCAGACAAUUUGAUCUCAGCCGCGGUAUUCAAGUUCAAGUUUAAGUCUCAGCUGCGGUGUCAUUGAAUUCGUGCUUCCAAUCUCGUGGUCUUAAUCGUUGUGUCGAUCGUGCUCUUGGUCGGACUCUAUCGAAUUCCCCCUUUUAAUUUCAGAAGCAAUCUGGUUUGAAAUUGUGGGUUGGGUGUGGGCUCUGCCAAGGUGACCUGGUGACUAUUUAAUUUUCACCUCACCUAUCGAGUGUAUGCUGUUGUUAGUUAGUGAAAUACAGUUAAAUCAUGAUGUCUCAUUCAUGGCUUACUGAUGAAAAAAUCUGAUAUGUAUGUAUACUACAUCUAUUAACCAUGUUGUUCUACUCUCCCACCCUUUUUUUUCC